CAUUUCUCCUCUCACCAUCACCCUGCCGCUGGGCAUCGUCAUGGACAAAUAUGGACCACGCAACCUACGACUACUGGGCAGUGCCUGUUUCUCCUUUUCCCUGUCUCCUCAUCUCCUACGGUGCAUACAAUCCUGAUGAGCUGUCUGUACUCAUCUUCAUCGCUCUGACGUUCAACGGAUUCGGAGGCAUGUGCAUGACCUUCACCUCCCUCAC